rnacentral:lncRNA from 1 species
AUGGAAGUGGGGAUUUGAAAAAGAGGGAGAGGGAACUCCAAGCUAAAGAAGCUGAACUGAGAAAGUGUGAAGAGAUUGUAAAACGGAAAGAGGAUGCUGCAGCACGAGGUAUUAUGCCUUGCCUUUAUUUUGCUGAAAUAUCAGUAGUCUUCUCAUUGUUUGGGGUUAAAUGAAUAUGUUCAAAUGCCCAGGUAUCGAUCGCCAAAUG